GAUGAAGAACGUAGCGAAAUGCGAUACUUGGUGUGAAUUGCAGAAUCCCGUGAACCAUCGAGUCUUUGAACGCAAGUUGCGCCCGAAGCCACUAGGCCGAGGGCACGCCUGCCUGGGCGUCACACGCCGUUGCCCCCCCAUCAACUCCUUCGGGAUUGCGGGGGGGCGGAUGAUGGCCUCCUGUGCGCCUAGCCGCGCGGUUGGCAUAAAUACCAAGUCCUCGGCGACGCACGCCACGACAAUCGGUGGUUGCGAAACCUCGGUUGCUCGUCGUGUGCGUUCGUCGCGCAUCGAGGGCUCGAAAAAAUGCUCGGCUCCGGCUGGGCUUUCAACGCGACCCCAGGUCAGGCGGGGUUACCCGCUGAAUUUAAGCAUAUCAAUAAGCGGAGGA
rnacentral:misc_RNA from 1 species